CCACGAAGUUCAUCAAGAGAUAACACUUGAAGCCGCGGGGGAAAGACAGCUUCAAGUCGUCGGCGAUGUCGGCUCAGUGACAGUGAAGGCGGCGAUCCGUACAUGAAAUGAGGGGACACCAUGCCACAGGAAAAGGGCAGGUCACCGUCUGUGGUCACAGUCAGAAGCCCGUCUGGGUCCCCCAAGCCAUUAUAUUCAAUUCAAGGCUAGUAAUGUGGUCAUCCCUCUGUCGUGAGCAUCUAGCUUUUUGUAGUUGAAUUUCGGGGUUCUACCGUUUGUCGGGCUUUGUCUGUA
rnacentral:rRNA from 1 species